rnacentral:rRNA from 1 species
AUUGAACGCUGGCGGCAGGCCUAACACAUGCAAUUCGAACGAGUGGCGGACUGGUGAGUAAUGUCUGUGACACUGCCUGAUGGAGGGGGCUCACUACUGGAAACGGUAGAUACUACCGCAUACCAUCAGAUGUGCCCAUAUGUGAUGAGCUCGUUGGUGGGGUAACGGCUCACCAAGGCGACGAUCACUAGAUGGUCUGAGAGGAUGACCAGCCACACUGGAACUGAGACACGGUCCAGACUCCUACGGGAGGCAGCAGUGGGGAAUAUGGCACAAUGGGCGCAAGCCUGAUGCAGCCAUGCCGCGUGUAUGAAGAAGGCCUUCGGGUUGUAAAGUACUUUCAGCGGGGAGGCGUUACCCGCAGAAGAAGCACCGGCUAACUCCGUGCCAGCAGCCGCGGUAAUAC